rnacentral:misc_RNA from 1 species
CAGAAAGUGAGAUUCAAAUCCUUUCACUCUCAUAUGCUAAACCUUUUGCCUUACUCUGGGUCAUCAGAGAAAUUUAGGUGAGAAUGUAUGAUGAAGUCUGUGUUUUAGAUUCAAUGCAGAUAUAUCAUUGUGGGCAGAACUCUUUCUGGUUAUAUCCAGUUAAGAGUAAAUCAGGCUUUCAGCCGGGCGCGGUGGCUCACGCCUGUAAUCCUAGCACUUUGGGAGGCCGAGACGGGGUUUCACCUUGUUGAUCAGUCUGAUCUCCAACUCCUGACCUCAGGUCAUCCACCCACCUCCGCCACCGUGCCCGGCCGAAAUUUGUGAUUUUAUAACUAAGAAUUUUUAGUUAAGAACAUUAUCAGUAAAGACAACGUAAUCCCACCCUGGAGAGUUUAUUGGGAGCCCAGGAAUAUUCAUUUUUAAUACACACACACACACACACACACACACACACACACACACACACUGAUCAGAGUAACGGGAGUUUCUCUCAGGAGUCAUACUCCAUGAGCCUGGACCCAGUGGUUCUUUAUGUGGAAACAAAUUUCACCUAUAGGUAACCUGGUAACUGCUAUUUUCUUCUGUGUGCUCUGUCAACAAAGGUAUCAGUGGCUUGCAGGAGAUGCCUUUAAUACUCAGAGCAUUCUAUCUCCCCCUAUCUGGUUUAGAAGGAAGGCCUUCAUUAGUUACCUUUUGAGAAGUUACUAGAACUCUCUAUUAGAGACUUACCCUCCUGACCUGAUAAAAAGGGAUACCCAUGUCUCUAUUAACAGCUUUAUCUCUUUCUACAGUUUUGGGUAUUUGAUAAGGUUAAGGCAAAAUUUUAGUUAUGCUUAAGGAGGAGUUCUUUUUUCACAAUUACAGAGAAAAUUUUGGUUUGUUGAAGAUUGCAGAAACAGCAAUGGUAAUGUAAGACAGUUUUGGCCUUUAAUUUUUUUCUUGAAACUCUACAGUAUACUACAAUAGUGAAGGAAACUAUUAUCAUGAGAGAUCCUUCUGAAUAGGAUGUCUUUCUGAGUUCCACUAUUCAGUUACAAAACUCCUUAAUGCUUAAAAUUCAUUAUGAAAAUUAGAUUUAUUUUAAAUACUUUCAAGUGUAUACAUUUUUAUUUCAUAAUUUUUAUUGUCUUUUAACUAAAGCAUUUAGUUCAUUUAUAUUUACUGUGUACCUUUUAUAUUUAAUAAAUAUAUUUACUUAUUAAAAGAUUACCACUGA